CACUGACAGGCCUGAAGCAGUCAGCGGCCUCACCUCCCCCAACUCACCAACGCGGAUGGGACAGGCCUGCAGUGCCUCCUCCCCCAAUUCACAGUGCAGGUGGACGGCCUGCAGUGUCUCCUCCUACAACUCAGUGCAGGUGGACGGCCUGCAGUGCCUCCUCCCCAACUCACAGUGCAGGUGGACGGCCUGCAGUGUCUCCUCCCCCAACUCACAGUGCAGGUGGACGGCCUGCAGAGUCUCCUCCUCCUACAACUCACAGUGCAGGUGGACGGGCCUGCAGUGUCUCCUCCCCCAACUCACAGUGCAGGUGGACGGGCCUGCAGUGUCUCCUCCCCCAACUCACAGUGCAAGUGGACGGCCUGCAGUGUCUCCUCCCCCAACUCACAGUGCAGGUGGACGGCCUGCAGUGCCUCCUCCCCAACUCACAGUGCAGGUGGACGGCCUGCAGAGUCUCCUCCUCCUACAACUCACAGUGCAGGUGGACGG